ACACACACUCACACACUGAUGUGUCAGCGGUUGAUCCGGUCGGGGUUGGGUCUGAAGAAAAAACCUGACCCGUUCGGGCAGAUCUCCUCACGCCUCAACCUCCUGCCACUCCAUGGUGUCAGGGACUCUCAGCAGGAACGUCUUAGAUGGCGAUGAGCUGAGGCUCUGUGUGUACCUCCGCCCCACCAUCAGGUAGCAGAGUAAAUCUGAGAACUUGGCCCCGCCUCUGCAGCCUCCCAUAAAGGCACGCUCAGACAAGAACCGUGUUUUCUCCUCUAAAACACGUUGAUCUCCUUGAAAGUAAUCUCCUCAACUUUGACCUUUUUUCUCACAAACAACACGUUUGUCUGUGAUGUGGCCACGCAGACACACCUGUCACCUUUGUCCAGCUGAGCUCACCCUCCUCUUGGCGUUCCUCCUUUGUGCUCUUUGCCACAUUUUCUUGAUUCAAAAGUCUAAACCUGUUUUCUGUCGAUCUUUGCAUUUUCAGGCUGGAUUGUUUUUUUUGUCUGGUAUCAGACUCUUUAUUUUCUUUUGGGCACAGAAGUCAUCAUUGAGUUUGUCGUCUUUCCACCUUCAGAUGCUAAAUGCUCUUUCUUAACGUUUCCCAUGAUGCCGUUGAACAAAAAGACUCGUCGCCAAGAGGGGGUGAGACAAGCUGAGUGUUCAUAAAAACAGGGAACAAAUGGGCCAACAGCAUCAGACGGAAAGAUGUUUUCUACACACAUUGAUCCCUCCUGCUGUCUUCGUGCGAAACGUCUGUGGUGAAUUCACACUUUUUUUAAAAAGUGAAACAAAUCUGACGCCAAAAAAAAGAAGAAAAGAAGCUGAAAAAGGCUGAGGUUUUAGCAAAAAGACUCAAUCAUGUCAAACUCUGAGAAUAGCUGAACAAAAAUGAGGAAAUGCAGACUCAGCAUGAGUAUAGGAUAAAAACUCUGGCAAUGCUGAAGAAGCUAAAGUUUCUUAAUGCGGAAAAGGAAAUUUAGAAGCGGAGAUGUUUGAUUAAACUUUCAAAAAUGUAAAACGGUAUUUACUAAGAAAGUUGUUCACAAACGAGCAGAAAUCGAAUAUAACGUAAUGUGAAGUAAUGAUCCAUAGUCUUUAGCCCAAAGUCUGGGGUUGUUGGAAAAAAAGAAUGUUAAACAGUGACAAACACCCUAAACAAUGUCCUAGAAGAGCCUGGAUCAAUUAGAACUAUGUUCCAUUUAUGAUAACACCUUUUAAAAAGGAAAUAUUUAUGUCAAAAACCAAACCUGCUAAGAUUUAUGGAGAUUAUUUGGCUCAAGCUCUUUUUUAACAGAACAUAAAGGUGAGAAAUAGUACAAGCAGUGUUUUGGUUCCACAAGCACAGAACAGGCGGAGGAAAAGGAACCAGAUGCUUACGAGAGCGAAA